AACGAACGCUGGCGGCAUGCCUAACACAUGCAAGUCGAACGAGACCUUCGGGUCUAGUGGCGCACGGGUGCGUAACGCGUGGGAAUCUGCCCUUAGGUUCGGAAUAACACCCCGAAAGGGGUGCUAAUACCGGAUAAUGUCUUCGGACCAAAGAUUUAUCGCCCAAGGAUGGGCCCGCGUUGGAUUAGCUAGUUGGUAAGGUAAAGGCCUACCAAGGCGACGAUCCAUAGCUGGUCUGAGAGGAUGAUCAGCCACACUGGGACUGAGACACGGCCCAGACUCCUACGGGAGGCAGCAGUGGGGAAUAUUGGACAAUGGGCGAAAGCCUGAUCCAGCAAUGCCGCGUGAGUGAUGAAGGCCUUAGGGUUGUAAAGCUCUUUUACCCGGGAUGAUAAUGACAGUACCGGGAGAAUAAGCUCCGGCUAACUCCGUG
rnacentral:rRNA from 1 species